rnacentral:tRNA from 1 species
GGUUAUCACGCCUCCCUGUCACGGAGGAGAUCACCGGUCCGAAUCCGGUAGGGACCG